rnacentral:rRNA from 1 species
CGCAUCUGUGCAUGCAGCAUAUCAAUAAGCGGAGGAAAAGAAACUAACAAGGAUUCCCUUAGUAACGGCGAGUGAAGCGGGAAGAGCUCAAAUUUGAAAUCUUCAAGGUUUUACCUUGACGAAUUGUAGUUUAAAGAAGUGUUUUCUGUUGAAGUUUUGGUAAAAGUUCUUUGGAAUAGGACAUCAUAGAGGGUGAGAAUCCCGUAUUUGACCAUUAUUUUCAGCUGUGUGAUACACUUUCAAAGAGUCGGAUUGUUUGGGAAUGCAGUCCAAAAUGGGUGGUAAAUUUCAUCUAAAGCUAAAUAUUGGCGAGAGACCGAUAGCGAACAAGUACCGUGAGGGAAAGAUGAAAAGAACUUUGAAAAGAGAGUUAAACAGUACGUGAAAUUGUCAAAAGGGAAGCGUUUGACACCAGUGUUGUUUUCUCGAAAAUCAAUUAAAAAGAGUUUGAUUUUGUUGUGUAUUGACCUUAACAGCUUGCAUUUCAAUUUUCUUGCUUUUUUUAAUGCACUUUUCGUUUAACAAGUCAACAUCAGUUUCUUUUGUUGUAAAAAGGUCAUUGGAAGGUGGCUUUCUUUUCGGAGAAAGUGUUUAUAGCCUUUGACUCCUGCAAUCGGAGAGACUGAGGUCUGCAGCGUAGAUCCUUCGGGGUUAGAUACAUUUGUGCUAAGUUAUAGCUUUUUAUAGACAACUUGUUGACUAUGAUUAGUCUUGUAGCUUACUCGCUUAUGCUAUUUUACCUACGCUUAGGAUGUUGAUGUGAUACUGCGAGCA